ensembl:lncRNA
UUCUGGUUUAACUGCAUGUGUCUUUUAUUCUUCCUGAUGGUUGUUGGUGACUCUGUAGGACGUGCCACUGCUCUGCUCAACCAGCUCCUGCGCUGUGGGACCGUGCUCCUGGUAAGAAGUCAAUGUCAAGAAGAUAGAUUGAAUCUUGAAUUUGAGUAACAAAUUCCUGGAUUUGUAAGCAUCCCAGUGUUUAAGACAUCUGCCACUCACUUCCUCCUUUCCAGAGCGUCAUUGCAAAAGGAGUAAUGAGGGGAUUGUUUCAGGCUUUCCUUUCAUGACAUUUAGGAGGAAAGGAAACUGCUGUUGAAUAUGAGAUGCCUGGGAUUUCUGUUUUAUAUUAUACUUCUUAAAUGUUUGAACUCUGCUUCAGGAUGGAACAAGUUAGAAUUGAAACUGCAGGGUGGAAUGUAGACUUCAUCCCACAGUCUUACACGGAAGGAAAAAGAGCUACAAAGAAUAAUGAUCCAUGGAUUCUAGAGAGGGACACGGAUUCUUUACUGGACUUUCUCUUGUGGGGCACUUGCAAUCGUCCAGCUGCUGUGAGUCAGCUUGGUGUGGUGGAAACUGAAGCUGUGAGAUGUGCAGUGGUUACCAUAGCAUACAGUGAAUGAAGGUGUGCAAGCAUGAGGGAGCUAAGAUGUCCCCUAACAGCAGGAUGAAUAAUGACUUGGUCGCUAAAGAAGAAAACGGAUGUGGAUGUCUCAGUGUACGCGCAGCAGAAUAGACAAUGGCUUCACCUACUUGAGAAAUUACUAUGUUGGGCUGGCAGGACUUACGUGAGCUAUUCAGCCAAGACAGAAACAACUCCGUGCUCCUGGAUGGCCAAGUUACAAACGAGGUUGAUCUGUCUGAACUGCUGAAACUUGAUGACUCGCAAUCAACAGUCUGUAGAACAAUGCGGUUAACAGUGUGAAGAUGUGGAUUUUUUUCUGCCUCUAAAUGCUGGGUUCUGUGCUGGGCCAGUAAGAAAAUUUGCUGUAAUGAGUUUUUCUUACUGAGAGUGACCAAAGCAGAACAUAGGAAGGAGUGCAGCAAAUCAAAGAAGCAAAGAAAAGGUUGGGAAGACAGACAAGCAGCAGCUAAUGCAGCCAUGCCACGGUGUUGAAGCGCAACGUCGGGUGAAAUGCAGGCAUUGUGUGGAGCCGUGAGAGCGCUAGCAGUACACGGCACGUGGGAACACAUUCAGGCCUACACCAAUGAGAAGAAACAGGAAAGGCUGUGAGUCUUGGGCAUCCCACUGCCUUUGCUGUGCUGAUUCCUGGGGAAGCAGAAGAAGAGCUCCAGCAGGUAAGAUGCAGCCAUCAAUUUUGCUACUACGAUAACAGUAUGUGUCUGAGGUACCAUUCCCAGAUGGCUUUCCUAGGCCCUCAGAUUUCAAACACUGCCAGGGAGUUUUUGUAAUUCACCUCACAGUAAACGUAAACACUGCUUAAUGGAUGGCUUUAAUGCUGCCUUUCUGCUUCAAGGAUUUUUCAUUGGUCGCUGCUGCAGUGCUGGAACUUGCCCCGGGGCUGCACGCAGGCUGCCAUGCAGCCAAGGGCUUAGAAACCUGUGUCAUUUCAGUUCAUGUUGAUUAUGGUUUUUGACUGAAAUACUGUGGUAUUCUUUUUAAAGAAAGCACUGAGUCACCAAAACUAGCACUUACCUUGUAAAUGCAUUGGUUUUGAGGGGAAACUUUCUGAAGCAGAUGGAACUGCUGUAUAGAGGGGAAAAAAAAUUCUUCACUGAUUAGGGCACUCGUGUAUGGGAGCCCUACAGUCAGCAAAGAGCUGUUAUUUAUGAACUUGUCACUACACCUGCGAGGGAACGGAGCAGAGCAAGGAUUUGAACCAGACUAGUUUCCCAAUCAUUGGUUCAUGGUCUCAGUGUAUACUGAGAGUGCCAAUUUAUUUUGGAAGCCUCGCUAAAUAUUCAUGAAGUCUGGGAUAAGAUCCCCACAAGAUAGCAGUUACAGGAGCUGGAUGAGAUACAGGCUGCUCGUGCUUAAGCCCUUGAUUCAAGCUGCUUAGAGAAAUACCUCAUGUUCAAGUCCCAUCUCCCACCCAGUGAGCUUAUGUGCUGUGUUGCUCUCCAUUCAGCAUGAUAUAGAAAGACAACCCCAGAAGUCAAACUUCCUUUUUUUCCUACUCCAAUUCUGCCUACCCCAAUGUACUAGAAAUGAAUAAAAUUAGAAUUGGGCCAUACAUUUAUAUCCCCAUUUUCCCUCCAACAUCUCUUCACUGGGUAUGCCUGGUUGUAGAUUUGCUGCAGUUCAUUUCUUCAAGAUUACCCUGAAAGGAGUGAUUUUGUUUAUCUUCAAAAUGAAAGUUGGUGGGAAUGGUGGCUUCCCCGUAUUAAUUGUAUGAACAGAAAGCGGUGCUGUGAGGUCAAGAGGAAGUGCAGUGCUCAAGAUAUUACCAAACUAUGUCAUGAAAACAGAUGUGCUCUGCUGCUUCUUUCUAUGUAUGGGGAAUUUUCUCAAGAUCUUAAGAGAUGUCUACUCUGACCACAGAGGCUUUUGUCUUAUUCUUCCACUUUCCACCUUCGAGAACAGAUCACGGUGGUUUUUUUUUUGUGGGCUUCCCCCCCCCCCCCCCCCCCUCCAUGUUUUCUUUUGGUUUUCUAGCAGCCUCACAUGGGCCCAGCACUGGGAGCAGAAGCUCAGCAUCACCCACUACAGCCUCCUUUCUACAGCACUGCCAGGUGGGUGCAAGGUGCUCAGGGGAGCCCUAGAGGUAAUGGGCUGAGCUGAGGGGUGCCAGCUGCUCCUUAACGUCAGGAGUAUGAGGGUCACAAUGAAGGUCUGGAAGAAACUAAGAGUAUUUUUUAAUCAAUAAUUCUAAGUUUCUCUCUCCUGGCCUUAUGCCAGGUCUUAGUGUUACUCUAAUGAAAACUGUAGAAAAUGUAUACACACAUAAGCUUGCUUAGCUAGGAAAUGAAAAAAUAACGAACAUUUACAGCCAGUAAUCAAAAUGAUAAGCAAUCCAUCUGUUGGCAGAGGAGCAUUUUAUAUGACCAGUGAUGCAGAAGGCUCCUGCAGGUAAGCUACAGCAGCAAUCCAGCUGAGGCACUGCACCCUACCAGCUCUAGGAGCUAUGUGAGGUGGUGCUGCUGAUAUCAGCCUCUGGAGCUGACCUGGUGCUGCAGGAACCUGCUGCUGUGCUGGGUCUUGUUCCACAGGGCAGGCUCUUCUCAUAAACUAUGUGGGGAAUUAAUAUAAUUAUACCUGUGCAAGUAGGAGGAAAAUUAAAACAUAUGUUAUCAGUUCCUAAAAAAUCUCUGAGUAGCCACCAAAGUAGUUGUAUAGUCUACAAAGCACAGUUGGAAAGAGUACUGCAGUGAGAUAGCAAAGGAACAAACAGAGAAGAACUGCUCACCUGUAUGCAAAGAUUUAGGCUCACACUGAAAAGCUCCACAAAGGAGGGAUCACCACAAGGAGAUUCUUCCCCAGUGUUAGUCAGCCCUUAAAUGGGGUCUGGGAGGGGUGGAAUGUGGUCACACAGCUUCUGGUCACAUAGCUGAAUUGCUUUCACCUGUGCUCCCACAGCUGAUUCAGUCCUUGCCUCAGGUGAUCAAUUGGUGGUUCAGGCUGUGAUUCAACAGUUCCCAUGCAGUACUUUAUCCAAACACUGAACAACCGUGCUGUACCUUCAUAGCAACGUGAGGAGUUCUACACGUUGAGAGAUGACUGCCUCAACUUUCAGCUUUCAGCCCUGACUCUUCUUAAAGGUGAGUUUUUGGUUGGCAGAGAGUGAUUGUGAAAUUUAGAGCCAUAAUUUUUCUUUGGUAUGAUGGAGUUUUGUAGGUUGGUUGUAGCAGUUUUGUAAGUUGGUUUCAAAAUUGCACUUUUACUCUGCUAAUUAGGUGGUAUUGACCACCAACUUGAACUAGGUAGUGUUACAAGUAUGAUGUGUAAGUGUUGUGUCAGAGGACGAGGAAUGUUGUUGCCUGAACCACAGCUGUAAUGCUGUACCUGGCCUUGUUUACAUUGCUGAAGCUCUGUGGAGUGCAGUUCUUCUGUGGAAAAUGGAAAUGAAUGGUAUUUGCCUAUCACAAAAGAGUGCUACAGUAGGUUGUUAGCUCCACUGGAUUGUCUACGUGAAGGUGUACAGAACUGUUCAGAAAUCUCCACUAGCUACUUGGGAUUUGGACUUGUGUUUUUGUAGCUCUGCUAACUAAAUUCCAGUGUAACAAUUGCAAUAGAUUCUUCGUAUGGUUCUUCUUUUAUUUUGCUUGUUAUUGGAAAGGAACUUCUAAUCUAUGCACCAGGCUCAGCAGCAGUGCAGGCAGGAAAGGACCCGAACUUUAGAGCUUCUGUCAGUUUGGACUGGAAAUAAUUGUGCAAAGGAUUGUGAGAUUUUGCUGUCUUCAAAUGUGAAAUGUACUUGAGCAACAGUUUAUCUUUUAGUGUAACUUCAAUUCAAAUCUUAGCUUCAGAUACUAUGAUUUUGACUUUUCCUAAUAAAAAAUCCAGGUGGAAGUGACUAGAAAUAGGAAGCAAAUACCUAAUUUGCAGAAAAAUGCCUUGGCGGUAGUGAAGUGAGAGCGCCUGACAGACUGCCUCAUGGUGUUCAUUCUUACUGAGCUACAGUGAAGGCAGAUGAAGCAUAAAUUACUCAGUAAGCAAAUGCCUUGUUUUCUCUGUAACUCCACCUCUUUGGGGCAUCCUGCCCUGUCCCCACCCCUCGCACUUGUCUGCUUGUCUUAAUGGCAGUAUUCACGCAGCUGGUAAUUUAUGUGUCUGAGAGAGAAGAUUUACACAGAGCCUUCCCUUCAGUUAUUCAGAAAAUGUGAGAUACAACACGUGAUUUGUUAGGUCCCAAACUCUUAACUUAAAAGUCACGAACAUCUUAAUGGCUGGGCUCGAGCAAGAGAAGUUUUAUAUGCAAUAACUUGAGCGAGAAGCUGGUUCUGAGGUCCUCACUUUACGCCUAGUUACAAAAGUUUGUCUUCAAAAUAAAUACAAUGCCUAUUGUAACAUAAGCACACAGUAAUUUGGCUUUGGUUGAAGCAGUUCGAUGCGCUGCUCUGGCAGACAGACGGAGCUGAUCCAGUUACGGAGACCUGCUUGAUUCGGUCGGUGUCUUGUGUCAUAAACACGAAUUGUUAAUUUCAUAUUACUCAUAACAGGCGCACUGUGAAUGUUUGCAGCGUUUAUAGGAUAUCAGUUACAAAUGUGAUUAUACCAGCCAUUCCUCAGGACUGACACCAGUUUCAAAUUAGAAGCUGACAGGCCUCACCUGCUCCUGAGUUCACCGACAGGUCACCUUCUUGUCAUUUUGGCUGUCCCCCCCCUCAGAAUGACAUCUGUGUUCAUAAAGGGACAGUGAGGGACUCUAAGUUGUUAGAAUUGUUGAAGAAUAAGAAUAAGGUGUCAUCUACUCCAAUAACGUAGUACUCAACUUUGGCCUUUCAGAUGGCGUGAUGCUUGUAGCACCUGACAAUGUUUCCAGAUACAAGAAUAGCCAGAUCGGAGGGGCAGCAGUUGUUCCCUCUUCUACGCACGGAUGCUAGGCAUUCAGCCCAGUGCUAGCCACACAGUAGAGGCAACCUCAGAGUAUUCAGCAAGGGCUUUCAAAAUACCUUUACUUUUUACAUAAAGGGAUAGCACGUUAGCUUAAAUUAAAUCAUUCAGAGGAUGUUAUUACAUAGUCAGAUUUUAAAGCAACCUGUGAAAGGCAAAAGGUAAAUACUGUUAAACAUACAACUAGAUAAAAUAUAUUUGAAGCCUUUUCAAUUUGUUGGACAUCUGCAUGAAUCUCUGCGUACUGUGGGUAUAGAUGCAAACCGUGAUGUUACGUGGAAUUGUCCUAGCACUUAAAAACACAUAUUUCUUCCUUUCUAAGGAAGACUUUUCGCAUUUGCUCGAUUGCUGUAACGCAGUUGAGAUAGGGCAGUCCAAUUACUCUGCCCAGACACUUCUCAAAACUCAGAAAAAGGGCAUCCCUCUUCCAACUCAGGUUCAUAAUUAGCUUAUUUCUGUCAGUGAACGCACAGAGAUGUCAGAUCCAAACAACCUCAAACUGUUCAGAACAGAGAUUUGGGCUCCUCUGCAUUUCAAGUUUACUGAAUAAGUGCAGAAACCAAUACAUGCAUGCCUCAGAUGGAACAGCUGUGCAUCUGUCUCCUUAAUGCAUGGGUUUUACAGGAAGCUAAGCAUGUGCAUACGUAUAAGCCCACUGAAGUUGCCUGCCCCAUUGCUGCUGUAUGUAGAGAGGAAGGUCUGUGGGUGAGCUCCCAGCUGUGGGCUGUGAAAGCUUUUCUCCUGGCACCUCCAGGGGCUGGACAGACUUACACUCACCUUGAGCUCAGUUGUGUGCUGGUGAGAAAAGAGCAGAGAUGUUCGUGAGAGGGUGGGAAAGGAUAAACAAGAUGUUCAAUUGCACUUUGCCAAAUGAAGGACUCAGAGCAGCCAAGGAAAAUCUUUUUUUUCUUUUUUCCUCACUAAAUUAAACCUUUAUUUUUGUCUUAGACACUGUGGCUAGCAGAACUGUGAGGAUGUUCACAGUUAUCGCAGUUGCCAUCAUUCUCUGAAAUCUGUCCUUGAUUUUAUUUUCUGCUUCAGGAAAUAUUAUAGUAUUGUUAUUUUAUCUAUAUUAAAUAAACCUAAGGCCUGACUCUUCAUGGUGUAAACAAGCAUGACUUCAGGAAAGCAGUGCUGAAUCACGCCAUCUGUGUGUCUGAGUCUUAAUAUAAAAAGGAACAUGUUACUAGAGAGUAAACAGAAGUAAACAUUUGUUAUGGAAACUCACGUUAUCAACCCAGACACCCCCCUCCGGCGUUUAGCAGGAAAAAAACCCACCUAUGGUAGAUUUACAGAAGCCACCGCUUUUUUUUUUUAAUGAUUUGGAUAUUGAUCAUUUUUAAUCUUCUUCUCAGAACAACCGGGAGAUCUAUUAUAGCUUGAGCCAGCCAUGAAAAGCAGGUCCGUUCUUUAACCUGCCCCAAUUCACUUGGACAUAUUUUAUAUCUCCAGGGAUUCAGCCACAAAGUCCAUUAGAGCAUCAGAUGCAGUGAGGUCAAAUCAAUUGUCCAUACUGCAGACAAGGUAACCAUCAUUUACUGUAAUUCUCCCCCGUCAUGGUAGAGGAGAGGAAAGGUUAAAAGCUGUAUUACCAUGAGGCUGUCUCAUCUAUCUUUCAGUAUAUUGGUAAUACCUAAACAUUGCUUAAGGAACUGAAUGCACAAUCUUAAAUCUGCGUUAGAAUGGAUUUAGAGGUUAGAUUGCCAACUUGCAAAAUUUGCGAAUGAUGAUUUCUUCAAAGAAAAGCAGAAAAAAUGAAAAUUUUAAAACAAAAAGCUUAAAAUAUAUUGUCACGUCUGACACAGCCGAUCUGAAGCUAUACUGAACGUUCAUCUCACAAUGACCCGAAUGACUGCUAUUUAUCCUUCCCUAUACAUACAUAUAUUUACCUAUGAAGUAAUUUGCUGUCAUCUCUUUAAGGUGGAGAUGCUAUGACAGUCCAAAAACAAAAGAGGAAGUAAAUUCAGGAUGUAUAUUUUUGCACUGUAAAUCAAGCCCUUAUGUGUUUGCACUCUACGAUGGGCAAUAAUAAUUGACUGAAGCAAUCACUGCUGUGGGAAAACAAACGUCCUGGCAGUGUCGCAUGUGAAGGUCAAGCCUGAUGACACAGUAAGCACCUGAACUCUCACUGACUCCUGGGGAGGCGGCCGCUGAGCACCUCCCGGAGCUCUCCUGGCAGGGACAGAUUUACGCAGCCGCCGGGCAGGGGGUGAGGAUGCUUUUUCGCUCCCACCUCCUUCCGUUGGGUCUGCAAAGUCAUUUAUUUCCAUUACAUGUUCUCUCUGGCUCCUCUGCUCGGUAUGUCAGCUGCAUGAAACCAGAGAGAAAAGGCGCUUCUGUGCUUCCAGUGACUGUGCAUCCCUCCUCCUUCAAACAAUUGUGCUGGCCCCAAUUCACUUCACGCAAGCUGGUGCAUUGUUUGCAUGCAGGGGAGCUGUGUCCACUGCACACGCGUGUGAAAGCUGUGGCACCAUGGCCCAGAUCUUGUUGGACAUUGUUGAAGCAGGAAGCAAUAAACCCAGCUUUAUUCACUUGCUUAUUUGCCUUUUCUAGGUUAAUCUUUUCUCUUUCCCUGGAUUUCUUUAAUCCUGGGAUGUUUUCAUUGAGAAAGUGAUUGAAUGAAGAGGCAUUUAGAUUUUCUGUAUUAUGGAAAUGUUUUCACAGCUGUCAGAACCAGUAAUUUUGUCCUUCUGUUUCAGAAGCUAGGUUCUAAGCAAACGUACACAUCCGUUGUUUAAAAUAGAGGCAAAGAAAUAAGGAAUAGAAAAUAGUCACUGCAGUACAAGUGUGUAUUUCUGAGGCUGACGUAUAUUCUGACAUACGUUCACGGUAACUGUAUUGGGAGACAAUGGAUGAACGCAGUGGGAGUGUAAGAGCUGAUGAUGUACGUUACAGAUAAUAAAUAUUUUUGUACGGAAGCUUAUUUGUAAAACUUAGAGUUUAACACUCAGCUCAAUAAAUUCCACUUUCAGGUAAUGUAGGCAUUCAAUAACCAUAAAAAGGAACCGGUAAAAGUUUUGUGUGCGCUGAAGGAGAGAGAAAUGUGCUUUAGAUUAGGUGUUACAUACCUUUCACUUAGCUGCUUUUCCUUCUCUGUUUCCUCUUUUCAUGAUUUUCUUUAUUAUUACCUACUCUCUGGGCUCCUUUUCCUCAGUCUGUGUCGCCCAUCACCUCUGAAUUCAUCCCUAUGAAUGUUUAUGCACAGGUCUUUCGCAACAGUGCAGACUGGCAUUGUGCU